AUUGAACGCUGGCGGCAUGCUUUACACAUGCAAGUCGAACGGCAGCGCGGGCUUCGGUCUGGCGGCGAGUGGCGAACGGGUGAGUAACGCAUCGGAACGCGCCCAGUAGUGGGGGAUAGCCCGGCGAAAGCCGGAUUAAUACCGUAUACGAUCUGAGGGUGAAAGCGGGGGACCGCAAGGCCUCGUGCUCUCGGACCUGUCGAUGUCGGAUUAGCUAGUUGGUGGGGUAAAGGCUUACCAAGGCGACGAUCCGUAGCUGGUCUGAGAGGACGACCAGGCACACUGGGACUGAGACACGGCCCAGACUCCUACGGGAGGCAGCAGUGGGGAAUUUUGGACAAUGGGGGCAACCCUGAUCCAGCCAUGCCGCGUGCGGGAAGAAGGCCUUCGGGUUGUAAACCGCUUUUGGUCGGGAAGAAAUCCUCUGGGCUAAUACCCCGGGGUGAUGACGGUACCGGAAGAAUAAGCACCGGCUAACUACGUG
rnacentral:rRNA from 1 species